ensembl:lncRNA
CACAUGCUCACACUCCUGCCUGCGCAGACCUAGUGAGUGAGCCUGUUUGCACCCCGGCCGCGGGGCCGCACAAGCCCCCGGGGGAGCCGCCCAUUCCCUGAGCGGCCUUCACUGGCGCCGCACGUGGCCCGGAGCGCAGGGGAGCUGAGGUUAGCAGUGACCUGGGCGGGAGGCGGGAGUUGAGGGGGAGGAGGCGCUGGGCUGGGCUGGGCUGGGCUGGAGGACGCGUGCUGUUUCUGCCGGCAGUGAACUGCUUCCACACCAUAUUUGUCAGUUAGGAUUGCGCAGCAACCGCUCACGUUGUCUGUGGAGAGAGAAUGCACGUAAACAAGGAGGUUCUAAAAGAGAUUCGUUUAACUCUUUCUAUUUAAAUUAUAGGGCACAAUGCUUAAUUAGAAAACUUAGAGAGGCUGAUCUGUGGGUAGGAUGGGGAUGCAGUCAUCCAAGUUCUGUCUCUGGUGUUCUUCAUGCCACAUGCACACUGCAAAGUUUGCUGGACCCAAAGUUAGAGGUAACAGCAAGGAAAGUAACCGACGCCCAUGUGGAGCUUCAAACAACCCAUCAACAGCCAUUGUCCAACAAGGGAACUACAAUACAAUGACUCGCCUGCAUGAAGCCACACCAGGGGAAUUGCUCAACCUUGCUUGGAGAGACUCAGCAAUGCCCCCCAGACAUGCCUGGACUUGUGCUCCCCAAGCACAUGGACUAAGGAUAUAAAACAGAAUGGACACAUACCGGGCCCUUCUCCUGCUUCCAUCUUCACAGCAAGCAACUAAGACACUGAGAAGAAGACAAGACUCCAACAGAGGAGAUUGGCCCAGGAUUAAGGAACAAACCUGUAUAUUAAGGACUGCAUUGUCCAGUGGGGUGAGAAAAGCUGCUUAAUCCAGAUGUUGCCCAGUGUAAUAGUGUUGAGAAGUUAGACUGCGUGCUUAUAUUUUAUUUUAUUUUGGCAACCACUCUUGACUUUUUGCCUAUCGCUUAAUAUCACUUAAAAUAUAUCUUUGUAGUUAAUAAAUCUUUUUGUUUAUUCUACCUGAAGCAGUGUGUUUGGUUUGAAGCAUGUCAGAGACACCUCUUGGGGUAACAAGCCUGGUACAUAUUAAUUUCUUUGUUAAAUUGACGAACUCAUAUAAGCUUGCAGCAUCCAGUGGGCAUAACUGGACACUGCAAGAUGGAAGUUCCUAGGGUUUUGUCAUUUGGUUGCAUAAUCCAAGGAGCAGUUUACAUGCCAGAGGCUGUGCGUGAACCGCCCAGGAGUGGGGGUUCUCACAGCAGAGAUGGGUAAGGCUGGCUCACAGAGUCAAGGAUUGGAGUGACCUAGCAGGUCACACUGGUCCGGAUAACACCAGGGGAAUGCCACAGUGUGCUGAGCUCACUCCAGCAGAAUGAGAGCUGGAUUGACACUGGAGAACUCAGUGGUGAUCACGCUCUAGCUUGCACUGCUGAAAUGCUAUCAGUCAGUAGGCAAUCAGUCUGGGGUUGGACCAUCCACAGUGGGAUUUGUUGUCAUCCAUGCACUUAAGCAUCCAUCUCCUGCUACACAGGACUCUGACUUCUGGUAACGCACAGGAAAUAGUGGCUGGAUUUACAGCAAUGGGGUUCCCAAAUUGUGAUAGGUAAUAGCACACAUAUCCGUAUACUUGUAUGCAGUGUUCUUGUAGCUGUGUCAGUCCCAGGAUAUUAGAGACACACGGUGGGUGAAGUAAUAUAUUUUAAAGGACCAACUUCUGUUGGUGGGAGAGACAAGCUUUAGUGCUCACACAGAGCUCUUUGGGUAUGAAACAUACUCAGCAUGUCACAGCUAAAUACAGGUUGUUUAGCAUAAGUAGUUAUAUAUUUCAAGGGAUCAUUCAAGGUGAAAUGGCCCAUUUACACCCCUCCAGUUAUAGGGAGGAAAGAAAGGGAGGGGAGGAAAGGCAGCUGGGGGUGUGGGGUUGUUAAUGGAUUACAGGUUAUUGUUAUUGUCUUUCACACCAGCAAAAAUUGGUCCAAUAAAAGAUAUUACCUCACCCACCUUGGCUUUCUAAUCUCCCUAUUCUGGCAUAAUCCAACCUCAUCACUGAGUACACCAAGAGAAAAGGAUAGUUUUCCAUGGUUAUGCAAGCAUUAGUGGAUCACUGGAAACACUUCACUGCUAUCAGUGUGGGCUGGUGAGGGAAGAUGCAUGAUGUGCGUCUCCUUAAGAACUCAGGACUUCUGAAAAUGCUGCAUGCAGGAACAUUCUUCCCUGACCAGUGCAUUAUCAUUGGCAAUGUUGAAAUGCCAACAGUGAUUCUGGAAACCCAGCCUUCUGUGGAACCUUUGCUGACCAUAUGACAGCACCAAAGAAAGAAACUGCAAGAUGAUUACUGAAUGUGCAUUUGGUAGAUGGAAGGGACACUGGCAUUGUUUAUUCACUAGACUGGAUCUCAGCAAGGCAACCGUCCCCUUUAUGAUUGCUACAUGUUGUGUAAUGCAACAAUAUCUGUUGAGGCAAAAGGAGGAAAGCUGCUGCUAGGGUGGAAAGUUGCGCUGGUCCAUCUAUCUGCUGAAUUUGAACAGCCAGACACAAGAGCUAUUAGAAGAGCCAAUCAUGGAGCUAUAUAACUGAGGAAGGCCUUAAAAGACUAUUUU